ACGGGAGGCAGCAGUGGGGAAUCUUGCACAAUGGAGGAAACUCUGAUGCAGCGAUGCCGCGUGAGUGAAGAAGGCCCUUGGGUUGUAAAGCUCUUUCGUCGGGGAAGAAAAUGACUGUACCCGAAUAAGAAGGUCCGGCUAACUUCGUGCCAGCAGCCGCGGUAAUACGAAGGGACCUAGCGUAGUUCGGAAUUACUGGGCUUAAAGAGUUCGUAGGUGGUUAAAAAAGUUAGUGGUGAAAUCCCAGAGCUUAACUCUGGAACUGCCAUUAAAACUUUUUAGCUAGAGUAUGAUAGAGGAAAGCAGAAUUUCUAGUGUAGAGGUGAAAUUCGUAGAUAUUAGAAAGAAUACCAAUUGCGAAGGCAGCUUUCUGGAUCAUUACUGACACUGAGGAACGAAAGCAUGGGUAGCGAAGAGGAUUAGAUACCCUCGUAGUCCAUGCCGUAAACGAUGUGUGUUAGACGUUGGAAAUUUAUUUUCAGUGUCGCAGGGAAACCGAUAAACACACCGCCUGGGGAGUACGACCGCAAGGUUAAAACUCAAAUGAAUUGACGGGGACCCGCACAAGUAGUGGAGCAUGUGGUUUAAUUCGAAGAUACGCGCAGAACCUUACCAACACUUGACAUGUUCGUCGCGACUCUAAGAGAUUAGAGUUUUCGGUUCGGCCGGACGAAACACAGGUGCUGCAUGGCUGUCGUCAGCUCGUGUCGUGAGAUGUUGGGUUAAGUCCCGCAACGAGCGCAACCCUCACUUUUAGUUGCCAUCAUUAAGUUGGGCACUCUGAAAGAACUGCCAGUGAUAAGCUGGAGGAAGGUGGGGAUGACGUCAAGUCCUCAUGG
rnacentral:rRNA from 1 species